GGCCCAUUGGCCCAAUGGCAAGGCGUCUGACUACGAAUCAGGAGAUUGUCGGUUCGAGCCCGACAUGAGUCA